rnacentral:misc_RNA from 1 species
GAAAUGCGAUAAGUAAUGUGAAUUGCAGAAUUCAGUGAAUCAUCGAAUCUUUGAACGCACCUUGCGCUCCUUGGUAUUCCGAGGAGCAUGCCUGUUUGAGUGUCAUUAAAUUCUCAACCCCUCCAGCUUUUGCGAGUUGUGAUGGGGCUUGGAUCUGGGAGUUUGCGGGUCCUUUAUCAAUAAAGGUCAGCUCUCCUGAAAUGCAUUAGCGGAACCGUUUGCAGUCCCGUCACUAGUGUGAUAAUUAUCUACACUGUGAUGAUUGCUCUCUGACUAGUUCAGCUGCUAAUCGUCCACUACGGACAACACUUAAUGAACUUCUUGACCUCAAAUCAGGUAGGACUACCCGCUGAACUUAA